rnacentral:rRNA from 1 species
CGGGUGAGUAAUGUCUGGGAAACUGCCUGAUGGAGGGGGAUAACUGCUGGAAACGGUAGCUAAUACCGCAUAACGUCGCAAGACCAAAGAGGGGGACCUUCGGGCCUCUUGCCAUCGGAUGUGCCCAGAUGGGAUUAGCUAGUAGGUGGGGUAACGGCUCACCUAGGCGACGAUCCCUAGCUGGUCUGAGAGGAUGCCAGCCACACUGGAACUGAGACACGGUCCAG